GCCCAAAUUCAGCCCCAAAUCACCCAAAAAUCAGCCCAAAAAUCGGCACCAAAAUAACCCAAAAAUCGGAACCAAAAUCAGCCAAAAAUCAGCACAAAAAUCGGAACCAAAAUCAGCCCCAAAAUCCCCAAAGAGCCGGAUCACAAACGAGUCUGCAACGGGGGAAAAUGGGGGAAAAAUGGGGAAAAUCAGCACAAAAAUGGGCACAAAAAUCACUCAAAAUCACCCAAAAAUCAGCACAAAAAUCGGCACCAAAGUCACCCCAAAAUCAGCCCCAAAUCACCCAAAAAUCAGCACAAAAAUCACUCAAAAAUCAGCACAAAAAUCGGCACAAAUCACCCCAAAAUCACCCAAAAAUUGGCACAAAAAUCACUCAAAAAUCUGCCCAAAAUCAGCCCCAAAUCACCCAAAAUCAGCACAAAAAUCAGCCCAAAAUCACCCAAAAAUCAGCACAAAAAUCAGCACAAAAAUCAGCCCCAAAAUCCCCAAAGAGCCAGAUCACAAACGAGUCUGCAACGGGGAAAUGGGGAAAAAUUGGGGAAAAUCAGCACAAAAAUGAGCCCAAAAAUCAGCAAAAAAAUCACCCAAAAUUUGGCACCAAAUCACUCAAAAAUCAGCACAAAAAUCCCCAAAGAGCCGGAUCACAAACGAGUCUGCAAUGGGGAAAUGGGGGAAAAAUGGGGAAAAUUACCCCAAAAUCAGCACAAAAAUCAGCCCAAAAUCAGCCCUAAAUCACCCAAAAAUCAGCACAAAAAUCGGCGCCAAAUCACCCCAAAAUCACCCAAAAAUUGGCACCAAAAUCAGCCCAAAAUCAGCCCAAAAAUAGCCCAAAAUCAGACUCAAAUCACCCAAAAAUCGGCACAAAAUCAGCCCAAAAAUAGACCCAAAAUCAGCCCCAAAAAUCAGCCCCAAAAUCCCCAAAGAGCCGGAUCACAAACGAGUCUGCAAUGGGGAAAAAUGGGAAAAAAUGGGGAAAAUCAGCACAAAAAUGGGCACAAAAAUCAGCAAAAAAUCAGCACAAAAAUCGGCCCAAGAAUGGGGAAAAGUACCCCAACAUCAGCCCAAAUUCAGCCCCAAAAUUGGCCCAAAAAUGGGGAGAAAUUGGCCUAAAAUGAGCCCAAAAUUCAGCCCAAAAGGAGCCCAAAAUUGGCCCAAAAAUGGGGAAAAAUCAGCCUAAAAUGAGCCCCAAAAUCAGCCCAAAAGUGGGAAAAAAUCAGCUCAAAAUCAGCCCAAAAAUGGGGAAAAUCAGCACAAAAAUCACCCAAAAAUCAGCCCCAAAUCUCUAUAAAAUCAGCCCAAAAAUCGGCACAAAAUCACCCCUAAAUCAGCCCCAAAUCAGCCAAAAAUCAGCACAAAAAUCGGCACAAAAUCAGCACAAAAUCACCCAAAAAUCAGCACAAAAUCACACAAAAAUCAGCCCCAAAAUCCCCAAAGAGCCGGAUCACAAACGAGUCUGCAAUGGGGGAAAUGGGAAAAAAUUGGAGAAAAUCAGCACAAAAAUCACCCAAAAAUCAGCCCAAAAAU
rnacentral:lncRNA from 1 species